rnacentral:rRNA from 1 species
UACGUCGGGUGCGAGCGUUAAUCGGAAUUACUGGGCGUAAAGUGUGCGCAGGUGGCCGCGCAAGUCGAGUGUGAAAUCCCCGGGCUUAACUUGGGAAUUGCGCUCGAAACUACGUGGCUCGAGUAUGGCAGAGGAAGGUGGAAUUCCACGUGUAGCGGUGAAAUGCGUAGAGAUGUGGAGGAACACCGAUGGCGAAGGCAGCCUUCUGGGCCAAUACUGACGCUCAUGCACGAAAGCGUGGGGAGCAAACAGG